AUCCUGAAUUCGAACGAGGGGAUUCAGUGCGCUCAUCGGGGACCUAUUCGAUGGUGAACGCUGUGGCGGACGCCCACCAGAUGGCCGGCCGGUUCGCCCGGGCGGGGCCAGGCCACCGCGCCUCCCGCCCGGGGUCGCUUCCGGUCGAUCGCCACUCGGUGAUCCGGCGGCUGUCCCGGCACCCGACGCACGCAAUUCCUCUCGGAGUAGAUACGCCGCGACCCGCGGGGUACCGGUCUCAGGGCCCGGGAUGGCAGACCGACGUCUCGCGCCCUCCAGGCGCAGAAGGGACUCGGACUCCCGGUGCACGUUCAUCCCGACCGGGACCCUGCGGUCGAAAAGCGGAGGGGUCACCCGCUCUUCGGGCGGCAUAUAUGUUGAACGGCCGCUCGGAGCGUUCCGGGCCGGGGGUGAGGCGGAUCGGCGUGGUGGCGUCACGAAACGUUACGGGCGUCUGGCGCGACCCCCCCCGCCUUGGCCCCGCGGUUGCGUUUCGCUUCCCGGAACCGGGACACGGGGCUCCCAGUCCGCGGCGACCAACAGUCGGACGGUCUCCCG
rnacentral:rRNA from 1 species